rnacentral:rRNA from 1 species
GAUGAACGCUAGCGGCAGGCUUAAUACAUGCAAGUCGAGGGGCAGCGGGAGUAGCAAUACUUGCCGGCGACCGGCGCACGGGUGCGUAACACGUAUACAAUCUACCCUUUACAGGGGGAUAGCCCUCCGAAAGGAGGAUUAAUACCCCAUAAUAAAUUGAAUGGCAUCAUUUGAUUUUGAAAGAUUUAUCGGUAAAGGAUGAGUA